AAUGAGUGACAUAAAUUAAUUGUGUAUUACACAUUUAAUAAGUCUAAUAAAAUAAUGAAACUUUAGCAAAAAAAAAUUGAAAUUGAAAUACACAGCCACUUAGCCCCAAAUGAAAUUAACAAAAGAAGAAAAAUCCCUAAUCUUUUAAUUCUCUAGUCUCUACCAGUUGGCUUCUCUGGAUCUCACUCAAACUCAGCCUCUCAAUCUUUUUUCUCUCACGCUCACGCUCACCCGCUCGAUCUAUUCUCUCUCACACUCAGCCCCCUCGAUCCGUUCUCUCACUCAGCCUCUGCAAGAACUCAGCCUCUACAAGAACUCAGCUCUCGUCUUUCUCUGCAUAACAUCGAGCUGCUCUCCUUCCCACCCAGCCUCGGCAAGAACCAGGCAACCCCGCCUAUGCAAGAACCAGGCCACCAUGGGGUAAACUAGGUAGACCUCCAAUUGUUUAUGAGAUUCUUCUACCACAAUGCUUAUAGAUGGUUUGCUGCAUAUGGGUUAGUUAAUAUCUUGUUCUGAAGGAGGGUUAAUUAUGAUGGAAUAUGUCAAAGAGAAGGUUAAGGAGAAGUCACUGGUUGCAGAAGACAUAAUGAGGAAAAUCAGAGGAAACGGAAACACAGAAAAAUAGCAAAAAGUAUAAGUGAUCUCUAAAUUAGAGGAACAACCUCAUCAAAUUAUGGUACAUUACUCGAAUCUCAUCCCCAAUUAAAUUGUUAUUGUUUUCUUGCUUUCAUUUCUUUCCCCAUACCCCUAAUGGAAAAGAGUUAUCUAACCUUCUAUCACUACUGGGUAACAAAAAGUUGGAUGGGUAACUGAAGAUUAAAGACAUGCCACAAUCUCCUGAAUGUGUCGUUUCUUUCAAGAGCAUUGUCUUCUGAACUUUUAUUUGCCUCUAUAUCAAUUAUAACUACAUUUUAUAUGUAUGGAAAUGAAUUUAUUUGUAUAUACCCCAUGUUUGUAUAUGCAUGAAUAUCCUUUUGUAGUGACAUCUUUAAGAGACUAAAAUUAGAUUAGAAGUGAGUAUAAUAUAAUAAAGGGCAACUUUUGCAAAAGUGACAAACAAAUAUAAAAUUAGACAAUUAAAGAAAAAGGGAAAAUAUAAAUAAGUAGGGAGAGUAUCAACAAAUAUAUAUAUAUAUGAACUAACAAAUCAUGUAGUCAGUUUUCACUGUAUGCGUUCGAAAUUAAAAUCCCAUAUUGUACUUCAUUGGUGCUUUACAAAUUGUAUUAUAUUAAAUGUUACUAAAAGAGAAACAAGUCAGAAAUAAAAAUGAAGAUGACAAAAACACUACUGUAAGUUUGAAAGGCAUGGAUUAGGAGGAAAUAACCUUGCUCUCAAUUAAGCAAUCUUCCAUGUUUCUCAUUUGUC